ACUGCAAGCUAUAAACUCUGCAAGUGGUGCACCCGACGUGAUCGCCUUGAAGUUAUGCGUGAAAGGAGGAGAGCUCAUCAAUUUUAAGAAAAUCCCGGUAAGGGACAGUCCUGACUACCAUCAGGUGGACAGGACCCACGCGAAAAAUACCAGGGGUUCGGUUAUCAUGGGUCAGGAAAUGAACAAAGAAUAAUUUUUUUUUUUUUUUGAGAUGGAGUCUCACUCUGUCGCCCAGGCUGGAGUGCAGUAGCGUGAUCCCGGCUCACUGCAACCUCCACCUCCCUGGUUCAAGCUAUUCUCCUGCCUCAGCCUCCUGAAUAGCUGGGAUUACAGGUGCACGUCACCCCACAACAGGACUUAAUUAACCUUGCCUUCAAGGUGUACAAUAAUAGAGAAAAGUUACAAUUACUUGCCUCUGCUGUGAGACAAAACCCAGCUGCACCUCCAGCACACGAGAACUUCAAAAUGCCUAAGCCGCACAUGCCUAAACCGCAGUGGUCAAGCAUUCCUACAGGACCUUCUUCAUCAGGAUCUUGCUUCAAGUGCCAGAAAUCUGGCCACUGGGCCAAGAAAUGCCCACAGCCCGGGAUUCCUCCUAAGCCGUGUCCCAUCUGUGCAGGACCCCACUGAAAAUCAGACUGUCCCACUCGCCUCGCAGUCACUCCCAGAGCUCUGGGAUCUCUGGCCCAAGACUCUCUGACUGACUCCUUCCCAGAUCUUCUCAGCUUAGCGGCUGAAGACUGAUGCUGUCUGAUCACCUUCGAAGCCUCCCGGGCCAUCACGGACACUUUGGGUAACUCUUACAGUGGAGGCAAGUAAAUGACCUCUUUCUUAUUUGGUUGUGGCAUCAAACUGCUUGUGAGGAGAUUAAGAUUGUUUCAGAAGAAAUAUAAAGAGAAGGAAAUGGUAAUAUGCAUCUAUUGAAAUUCAAAAUAGGAUUUUGCAGCAAGACAAUGGACUUGAAAACUGGACUAUGAGAAAGAAAUUGUUUUCUGCAUUCAUUUAGCUCCCAUUUAACAUAAUCAAGAGCCAGAUCUAGAAUCAAGUUUCUACCAAAGGAGGAGAUCACAGGAGUGCAAGAGGCCAAGCCAAACUACAAAAGCACAUUGAAAGCAUCUGCUUGCAUCGUGUCCUCUGACAUUCUGUUGGCACAAGCAAGUCACACAGCAAAGGGGAUGGAUGUACACUUAAAUAAUAAGGAGGAAGCAAAGGAUUGGGAAUAACAGUCCAAACCACCACAGGGCCCUACCUACCCCCAAGAAGUAAUAUCCUCAGAUUGAUCUGGGAAAUCCAAGAGCAGAUGAUGUUUCCCAUGUGCCAAGAAUAUCAGUGGAGUAUCACACAGAGGGCCCCAAAAGCCAGCACGCCAAGGAUGAUGGAGCAGGAUGAAGAGACCCUGGGUCUUAGAUAAUAUCGUUAGGGGGCUUACUGGCUGCUGACCUCCGG
rnacentral:lncRNA from 1 species